rnacentral:lncRNA from 1 species
AGAAAGGUCCAUUGCCAUAUGGAGAUGCUCUCUAUGAUCUAAGAGAUUAGAGUCUUAGCCACAAAUGAUGGAUGAAUAGACCAUGGGUUUGGUAUAUUAUGCCAGACAAAAUACGCUCCCAAACUAAGGUACAAAAUUGUAUGAUUUCUUUUGGCACUAUAUCAUGGUGAUAUUAUUGAAUAUGAAUAAGGCUAUUUUGGGUUGCGGCCUAUAUGAUAAGAUACAGCACCAUAUGCUUGAUUUUGGUGUUUUCUGUUUCUCCUCAACACUAAAAUAACGGCAAUGUUAUUUAUAUAUUCUUUCAAAUUAUGCAGGUACAGGUGUCUUGCAGUCUAGACAGCCAAGAAGCUACCAACGUACGUAGCCUGCUCAAGGAUUGUGACAUUAUAUUAUCCUUUUCAAAAUAAAUUUUGACACCAUGGUUAGGUUAAAGAAAUCCCAGUUCUUUAUAUUGUUGUCAUUUACUUUAUUAUACUUAUACUAGAGUAUUUGCUCGCGUUCUACGCG